rnacentral:tRNA from 1 species
UCCCUGGUGGCUCAGUGGUAAAGAAUCUGCCUGCCAAUGCAGGAGACAUGGGUUCCAUCCCUGACUAGGGAA